rnacentral:rRNA from 1 species
AUGCGAUCAUACCAGCACUAAUGCACCGGAUCCCAUCAGAACUCCGCAGUUAAGUGUGCUUGGGCGAGAGUAGUACUAGGAUGGGUGACCUCCUGGGAAGUCCUCGUGUUGCAUC